UACGUAGGUGGCGAGCGUUGUCCGGAUUUACUGGGCGUAAAGGGCUUGUAGGCGGUCCGUUAAGUCCGAUGUGAAAUCUCCCGGCUCAACUGGGAGAGGUCAUUGGAUACUGGCGGACUAGAGGGGGGGUAGAGGAAAGCAGAAUUCCUGGUGUAGCGGUGAAAUGCGUAGAUAUCUGGAGGAACACCGGUGGCGAAGGCGGCAUCCUGGACCGGUAUUGACGCUGAGGCGCGAAAGCCAGGGGAGCAAACGGG
rnacentral:rRNA from 1 species